AGGCUGGACGCGCUGGAGAUUUUAUUGGUAUGCCUAGAAUGUUCCACGGUAUGGCAUUAGGCAAUCUCCAUGGAGGCAAGUGUACAUGCCAGAUCUGUGGACAGGCGGCCUCCCGAAAUGUUGAACACUCCUGGCAGGGCAAGUAUAUCUCCAUGGAGUUAAGCAAGCGACGCCACCAUUUACAGCCAAAAUGAGGAACACUCCCGACAGAGCAAGUAUAUCUCCAUGGAGACAGGCAGCCGACCCCACCAUUCAAGCUCAAG